UACAGAGGUCUCAAGCGUUGAUCGGAAUUAUUGGGCUUAAAGGGUGCGUAGGCGGCGCUGUAAGUGCCUUGUGAAAUCCCAUGGCUCAACCAUGGAAUUGCUCGGUAGACUGCAGCGCUUGAGGUUGGUAGGGGUCGCUGGAACUCUAGGUGGAGCGGUGAAAUGCGUAGAUAUCUAGAGGAACGCCAAAGGUGAAGACAAGCGACUGGGCCAAUUCUGACGCUGAGGCACGAAAGCGUGGGUAGCGAACGGG
rnacentral:rRNA from 2 species